GCAGGUGCACCGGGCGGCACCCAGCCGCGCGCUCCGGGGACCCCGGACCCGGCCUGCGCGCCGGGCCCCGCAGAUUCUGGCCGGUUGGGGCACAAAGGGGCCCCAGGAUGCCUCUCUCCGAGGCAGCACGUCUCCAGCCUGCGGCCAGAGCGCAGAGGACCACGCGUCGUAAAACUCGGGCAGAGACCCGCGUGGGCCGGGGCGUGGGCGUUCCCGCCCCCGGCGAGGGGCCGCCAGGGUCGGUCACGUCCAUGUGGCGGAACUUACUGUUCCUCCCCUUCGGUUUGCUCGCCAAGAGCACAGUAUCGGAGCGGGGAGGGCAGAGCAGUCAUCGGGGUGAGCAAUUCAAAAAAAAAAAAAGGACGGACGGCCCAGUGCAGGUGUCUCCCGACGACACAGCCUUUGAUCCGCCUCUCAUGAACUUCGAUGUACAUUUUGAAGUGUGGACUUUUCCCCAACACGUGUAAUUGAGUCAGGAAGACUUAACGAAGAGUGGACAUGCCCUCUGGACCCGCCCUGCCGCCCACGUCGGAUAUGAUGGUUUCAUUAUUGGCCUCGAUAUUGUGCCGUCCAUUCUGCUCCACUGGCUUACUUCUAGAUCUCUGCGAAAAUGCCAUGCAUAUUGUUAUCCUUUACGGUACAUCUAGUAUUUACAAGAGGAAGCCGUCCUACUUUCUUUAUCUUCUUUUUAAAAAUGAUUUAGCUGGCGUGGGUGCCUGGGUGCUUCGGUCGGUUGAGCGGUUGAACAGCCGACUCUUGACUUCGGUUCAGAUCUUGCAGUUCGUGAAAUCGAGCCCCACGUCCGGCUCUGUGCGGACUGUGCAGAGCCUGCUUGGGAUUCUCGCGCUCCCUCUCUCUCUGCCCCUCCCCACUCUCUCUCUCUCAAAAUAGGUAAGUAAACAUUUUAAAAAAUGAUUUAGCUGGCUAAAUCUCUCCGGUUCUUCCAAGUGUUAGGAUCUGUUGGAGCUCUGACGGAACUCUCAUUUAAUAUAUAUAAUUUUAAAGAGACUUCGUAUUUUUCCCUUAUAAAGCAUUUUCUCCCCUUGAUACAGUGUUUCUCUGUGGUGACUUAAGCAGUUUUUGAUAUCUCUCCAUAAUAUUGGAGAGAUGUAAUAUGGAUAAUGUAAACAUUAUCCAUAAUUUGUCAGAUUCAUUCUUGGGUAUGAUUUUUUAGGCCUUAUUUUCUGUAUGUUUCCGAAUUAAAAUUACGCAAAGUAGCAAGCGUGCCCAACUCAGGUAUUGACUUGAAACGUUCCUCGAUCCUCUUUUUUCUCUAUGGAUAAUAUCAUAUUAUCUGCAACUAACGAUUCCUUAUUUAUUCCUUUUCAAUUCUUAUAUAUUCCCUUCCAGUUUGAAAUCGUCCUAACAGACCAUGAUUGCUCCUCCCACAAGGAAUGAGUGACCUUCAUUUUAUUUGCACGGCUUUCUAUAGGUCUUAUUUCAACCCCAAAUUCACGCACAAGUUAUUGAAGUCUCUUUCGAGGGUGUCUCUCCACAUCCCAGUUUCUCUGAGCUGUGCACCCCGGGAAGAAUUCCUCCCCAGACCUUCCUGAACCCCCGCAAUCCCACCCCCCCCCCCUUGCCUCACAUUUGCAUCUGGAACUUUCUGUAUCCCCAGUCUCCCUGUUUCUCAACUUGCAUUUUCAUUUUUACCUAGAUCCUGGGGAAGGCAGGAGUAAAGGUAAAUUUCACAGGGCAAAGCACUUUUGAAAACGUCUCCCACGCUCAUACUUGACGGAUACUUGGGUUUCACGUGGCAUCCACCGUGGAUUUGGUCUUGAAGACUGGAAGCCGUCGCCUCACUGUCUUCUAGCUUCUGGCCUCAGUCUUGAAAAGUCAGUGAGUCUGUCAACGGAUCUACUUUGUGUUUUCUUCCCACCCCCCCCCCCCCCCCCGGAAUAUUUUAGGCUCUUUUCUAUUUCCUCGGUAGUUAAGUAUCAGAUUAUUUUUAUCCUUUUUACUGAAUAUUCAGUGAUCCCUGACCACCUAGAAUUUUUUGCGUAGGGCUGGGAUAUGUACCUGAUUCGGGGGAGGUUCUCUUCCUUGCAUUUUCCCUAUUAUUUCUAGAAGUAAUAUUACUGGAAUUUUGCACAUCCUCGGCUUUCCCUCUAUCAUACUUAUUUUUUUAUUUUUUUUCUCUCCUUCAGCACUAUGUUUUUGAUCUGCCAGGAUACUACCACACUUUAGGAUCCGCUUCGUGGAUUUUCCAUUUCUGCUAAUACCUCUUUCUUUUACAGAAGCCUCUUUCCCCGUGUCGACAGGCCUGUUUCGGCAUUCAGUGAGGUCUCCCACCUCUCUGGGCAUAGCGUUUGUUCUCCGUAUGGUUCUAUCGUAGCCUUGAUCCUCACGGCUCUUCUCCCCCGUCUUUUAUUCCCUUUCUGUAACAUAGUCUUCAAAUACGUAACAACGCUGGCUUCUCCAUGCCUAGUCAAGAGCAGGGCACUUGACUCAAGUCAAGGGGACUGGCUGCUCCGGGUGUCUGUGGUGGAGGAGGACUGGAGCCGGCCCCGGAGGCCCUGGGAGGUCGGUGUCCCUUGUUUGCAGCGCAGAACCGCCCCCCCUACCGCGUCCGGCGCUCGCGGCCGGGAGGCGGGUCGCCCCGGCCCGGAGGCCCAGGCUGCGCACUGCUGACCUGAAUCCCUCGCUCAGGUCUGCGGUUUUAGGAAUCCCUGCACAUCGGGCGCUCGGUGUCUUGGGGAGAAAACUCGGGCUUCACGGACGCCGGUUCCUUUCUGUCUCUGACGGCGGCUGGACGUGGCAGGAAACGAGACUCUUUUUCUGGGACCCCCUGACGCGGCUGCACCCGCCUCCAGCUGAGCGAUGUAUGAAGGUGAAUCUCCCAAGCGGUUCGCGGUUCUGGUUUUCCGUUGGCGCUGUCAAAGCCUAAAGUUUAAAAAAAAAAAAAAAAGCCGCCUAAAAUUGAAGCUGAAGGGCAAGCCCGCUCGGUUUGCGUCCGACCGGGCGCGGAAAAGAAGCGCCGCCAAAGCUGGUUCCACUGGGGAUCGAACCCAGGACCUUCUGCGUGUAAAGCAGACGUGAUAACCACUACACUAUGGAACCGCAAGCCGGCAGAGGCUGGCAGGUCUCUCCAUACAAAAGUUUCCGAGCAAACACGUCGAAGGAAAACCGUUUCUAGUCCCCCCACCGCCCCGGAAAGAGAACGAGCCCGUCCGCGCCGAGGGAGUCGCGCCCCCGGCGCGUCCCGCUCGCGCCCCAGCUUGAAACAUCCUCGAGCCAAGUCCCGUGGGAACACGCGAGAAGAAACUAGGGGCGGCAGCGUUCUCGACCGGUGCCCCCUCGGGGCGCGCCUGGGCCACUCCGGGUUCCUCCGCUGGUUCAAGACGCGCCUGGUUUCGAGCCGCGACCCCCAAGUACGCAUGUCUGGCGUAUUGAUUAUUUUGAGUUAAAGGCGCUGGAAAAACAGGAGGGGAAGGAAGAACUCUCUCGCUUGCCUUUUUCCUGCUGAGAGCAGGAGGUAAAGGAGCCAGGUGAGAGGCGCCCUCCCUGUCCCGGGGGGAAGGACCCUUCUGAUCACCGAGACCAGGCCAGGAGAAAGCUGCACCGAACCCGGUUAAACCAACCCUUACCUGCCACUCGCUUGGCCCCGGCUCACUGUCCUCGGCCCAGACCCCUUCUCUUGCCCGGCUUUCCCAACGUGUGUGCAACCUAGCACGUGAGGCCGGGGCUCUAACUGCUUUGAGACUUUGUGUGAGCAUCCCCCCGCCCCCCAUGUCAAAAUUGCUUCAUGAAAUGUGUGUUUCCAUCAACCUGUUUUAUAUCAGUUUAAUCUGUAGGCCCGGCCAGAAACCCUAAAAGCUCAGAAGAGAGAUUUUACCUCCCUUACACAAUCUUUCUCUCUCUCUCUCUCUCUCCCUUCCUCUGACACAAUGCGGCUGUGACCGUCUCCGGGCAAACUCCAGGCCCCACUCUCCAGAGCCUCGGUGAAGGGCUGGGAGCCUUUUGAAAGUCAAGUCACCGGUGAGGGCCACGAGGCCGAGGACGCUGCGUGCGGGCCAUGUAAUCCCGGGUGUUCCUUGGUGUUGUCCAGGCUCUUCUCAGUCUUCAUUUCUGCUUAGAAUCAAAUUACAGCAGACUUAGACGCUGAUGGACUCGAGAGGGUUAUGCCGAAUCCGUGGUGGGCGAAGACCACGAUGCAAAGAUCCAGUCGUGCCCCCAUUAAACGCUGCCUAGCAGGAUUUUUGCCCCCAGCUCUUGUCCUGAGGUGCAGGAUUACAGGAGAGAGAAAAAUAAGCAAAGAGCCUGAGAACAAAAACAGAAAUGCGUAGGUUUUCCGGAACCAGUAAGAGGGGUUUCCAGUCCAUAUUGAAAAGGACCAAUUAGAAGACAAGAUUAUGUGCCACAAGCAAGGAUUGGACCCCCGCAGACUUUAAGUGCAGAACCUUACCCACUCAUCCGUCCCAGCAACUUAGAACUGGGAUCCUCCUAUCUUUUUCUUCCAGGAACCAAAAGACUUGUUUUCAGUUUAGGGAGCCUGCGAUUGACGUCAGAGGUCUACGCAACUUGGGCCCAGGCUUACAAGAAUAUAAACAAAAACCAAAUCUUUGCAAGGUUAUCUGCUGGGAAAUUCGUAAAAUAUCAUUCAAACAGUG